rnacentral:rRNA from 1 species
CAGCGUUGUCUGGAAUUAUUGGGCGUAAAGGGCUCGCCGGCGGUUUAUUAAGUUUGAUGUGAAAGCCCCCGGCUCAACCGGGGAGGGUCAUUGGAAACUGGGGAACUUGAGUGCAGAAGAGGAGAGUGGAAUUUCACGUGUAGCGGUGAAAUGGGUAGAGAUGUGGAGGAACACCAGUGGGGAAGGGGACUCUCUGGUCUGUAACUGACGCUGAGGAGCGAAAGCGUGGGGAGCGAACAGGAUUAGAUACCCUGGUAGUCCACGCCGUAAACGAUGAGUGGUAAGGUUAGGGGGUUUCCGCCCCUUAGUGCUGCAGCUAACGCAUUAAGCACUCCGCCUGGGGAGUACGGUCGCAGGACUGAAACUCAAUGGAAUUGACGGGGGCCCGCACAAGCGGUGGAGCAUGUGGUUUAAUUCGAAGCAACGCGAAAAACCUUACCAGGUCUUGACAUCCUCUGACAAUCCUAGAGAUAGGACGUCCCCUUCGGGGGCAGAGUGACAGGUGGUGCAUGGUUGUCGUCAGCUCGUGUCGUGAGAUGUUGGGUUAAGUCCCGCAACGAGCGCAACCCUUGAUCUUAGUUUGCCAGCAUUCAAUUGGGCACUCUAAGGUGACUGCCGGUGACAAACCGGAGGAAGGUGGGGAUGACGUCAAAUCAUCAUGCCCCUUAUGACCUGGGCUACACACGUGCUACAAUGGACAGAACAAAGGGCAGCGAACCCGCGAGGUUAAGCCAAUCCCACAAA